rnacentral:lncRNA from 1 species
AACAAUACAAAAAUAUGAGAUUCUAUAAGUGGCUCCUAUAGGUUCAAAAGAUGACUUCCACCAAACACAUGGUGUAAUACUUUGCACCGCAUAACACUUAGCUCUCACACCUCCGGCCGGUAUUCAGCUCUAAUACCAACUGCAAUGAUCCGACCCAUUGACAAUAAUAAUUCAUUGAGCCCAAACCAGCAGUCCAAAAUACUAUAGUGGAGUUAAGAGGUUUAGUUCUAUUAUAUCUUACUAGUUAAGGAUCCCGCACGAUGCCGUGGGUAGAUGUCACGCCCCGGGGUCCCUUUUUGUUUGGAAAAACAGCGGAAACGACUGAAAAUUUUUUUUUUUUUUGAAACACCUGACCCCAGUGUAUGUCAGAUCCACCACAAAUACAGGGAAUCCACUGUUUACACGGACAGAGUUUUCCCUGUAUUUGCACGGCGUCGCACAAGUACAAUUAUACAAACAGAGUAUAACCAGAAUACAACCACAACCAUAUGAACACACAAUCACAACUACACAUGCAGACGUUCAUACAUUCACCAUUCACAACGCGACAGUAUUCCAAUUUUUAAACAAAAAUCCAGAACUAUCAUUUGAAAUGUUUCCCACACAGAAACUUUUAUCCUUUCAAAACGCUACGACGAGGGGUAGAAAAAUAUUUGAAAACUGUAUCGAAUAUGAAAACUCUUUUCUUUUAAAACGAGCGCUACCACGAGGGGUAGAAAACCAUUUUUUUUUCUUGAAAGCUCAUAGAUCUAUUUUUAUUUACGAAAACCCAGCAGAAAACUGAACAUUC